GUUUAUGUGUGUCUCUGUCGGAGGACAGUGGUAUAGAACAAGACUGGAUCCUCACGUGGCUGUUGGCUGUUCUUUUUUUAAAGCAAAGAUGCAUCCAACUCAGCCUGGAUGUCAGAGGAAGCCAAGGAAGCUUCUGUGAAAAGGUGAUGCCUCUGCUGAGCCCUGUAGGAUGUUCAUGUGUUGUAUGUAGAAGAAGCAGGCAAAGAAGCCUGGAAAGGCAGCAUGGCCAAAGGCACAAAAAUGAGAAAGCUGACAUGAUAAAGAACUCUAAGAAGUUCUUUCAUAUUGGAUCAAACAGCAAUAAGAAUAGCAACUCAAAGGAACCUGUGAUAUAGUGAACAGAGUAACUGAAUAAAAGACUUGGAUUUUGGUCCCA
rnacentral:lncRNA from 1 species